GACGAACCGAGCGAACGUUGUUCGGAAUCACUGGGCUUAAAGGGCGCGUAGGCGGGUGCUCAAGUCCGGGGUGAAAUCCUCCAGCUCAACUGGAGAACUGCCUCGGAUACUGGGUGCCUCGAGGGUGGUAGGGGUAUGCGGAACUAUCGGUGGAGCGGUGAAAUGCGUUGAUAUCGAUAGGAACUCCGGUGGCGAAGGCGGCAUACUGGACCACUUCUGACGCUGAGGCGCGAAAGCCAGGGGAGCAAACGGG
rnacentral:rRNA from 2 species